rnacentral:misc_RNA from 1 species
GGCGAAAAUUUUCUCUAGUACUCCUUCUGUUUUUCCAAUUUUGUCUUCUUCCUCGAUGCAUAUAUCCAUGCUUCUUAGAAGGUCAGUUCCCUCUAUGAUUUCCUUAUAAAAUCCUGCAAAAGAACACAACUUAACCCACCAUUAAUUAAUAUCGAUCUCUCGCAUCUUUUUUAUAAUCUUGAUUGUACAAGUUCAUGCAAAUUAAUGGGCAAGCUUAGCAAGCAAUGUUGUCAACUCCUCCACCGUCCCAAGAGUCAAAAACUCUCCAAGAACAAGAAAAAACCAGUUAAGAUUACUUAUAUUUGCAACCCAACAAUGGUUAGAGCAGCAAAUGCUUCAGAGUUUCGAGCAAUCGUUCAAGAAUUGACAGGUAAGGAUUCCAAGAUUAUAAACACUUGGGAUCCUUGUACUACAAGCAAUGAAGAAGCUACCCAAGUUCUCAGUAACUCUGAAACUUCACCUUUAACGAUGAACAGUGAAAGUGCAGACGAUAUUUUUUCGCACUAUGCAUCUUCUUCGUCGACGCUAGAGAUGGAAGAUAGUUUCUUUUGGAAAGAUCUUUCUGAAAGCUUCUUUGAAUUCCAAUCUUCUUUUGUUUUUGUGUGAUUGAAUUUAAUUUUGGGGAAGGGGGAAGCCAACUGUUUGUACCAUGUGUGAAAAGCAACAUCGAUUGCAGAAGAUUGAAUAAAUUUU